rnacentral:lncRNA from 1 species
AGUACUUUAACAUGCAGGAAUAAAUUGGUUGGAUCAAAAAGUAUGAUUGUAUGAAAAAUAUGGUGGAUGAUUUGAUGCGAAAGGAAUAAUAUUAUUUUCAAACAUUUAUUUACUGACGCUACCUUAACUGAUCAGCAUGUUGGUGUACUGGUAAAGGAGUGAAUUGAGUUUUGUAAAGCUGGGUAACAUCUGUGUUUUUUUUAGAAUUUUUUAUUCGAUGCUUGCGAUCGCUUUUCUUUGUUUGUCUUUUUAGAUCUUUUUUCUAUCGAUUUUUCUCUUUCCUAAGGCCCUUGUUGCCACACUCUAUGUAGUUAAAUUUAUUUGCUAAUUGAAUUAAGCAGGUAUCAUGCUAUUUUUUUCUUAAAAAAAAAGAUAUGGUUGUAUGAAAAACUCAGGGAAGGAAAGA